UCUCCUGCCUCAGCCUCCUGAGUAGCUGGGAUUACGGGCAUGCGCCACCACGCCCAGAUGCCAAAAGGAAAGAAGGCCAAGGGGAAGAAGGUGACUCCAGCUGCUGCUGUUGUGAAGAAGCAGGAGGCCAGGAAAGUGGUGAAUCCCAUGUUGGAGAAAAGGCCUAACAAUCUUGGCAUUGGACAGCACAUCCAGCCCAAAAGGGACCUCACUUGCUUUGUCAAAUGGCCGCGCUUUAUCAGGUUGCAGUGGCAAAGAGCCAUCCUCUACACAUGGCUGAAAGUGCCUCCUGCGAUGAACCAGUUUCCCCAGACUUUGGACCCCCAAAGAGCCACUCAGCUAUAAUACAUAAGCUGGCCCACCAGUACAGACCAAAGACAAAGCAAGAGAAGAAGCAGAGGCUGUUGGCCUGGGCUGAGGAGAAAGCUGACAGCGAAGGGGACAUCCUCACUAAGAGACCACCUGUCCUUCGAGCAGGAGUUAUCACCAUCGCCACCUUGGUGGAGAACAAGAAGGCUCAGCUAGUGGUGACUGGACAUCAUGUGGAUCCCAUCGAGCUAGCUGUAUGCUGCCUGCCCGCAGCCUCAACCUUCUCAUCUGGAAAGUGGGUGGUGAUAGUGCAUGUCUCUGUGUUGUAAAAUAAAGGUCCCUGACUGCAUUAUUGAGGGGAAGGUAAGACUGGGACGUCUAGUCCACAGGAAGACCUGCGCCACUGUCACCUUCACACAGGCUAACUCGGCUUAGCUGGUGGAAGCUAUCAGAGCCAGUUAGAACGGCAGAUACAAUGAGCUCCAUCAUCACUUGGUAGACAGUGUCCUGGGUCCUAAGUCUGUGGCUCUCAUUGCCAAGCUGGAAAAGGCAAAGGCUAAAGAACUUGCCACUAAACUGGGUUAAAUGUUCUCUGCUGUUUUCUGUACAUAAAAAUAAUUAAAAUAAUACAAAUUCUCCUUCAAAAACAAAAAUACUUUCCUUCCAGACAUCUUGCAGGAGUGGAGUUACAAUACCUUCCUUCUUGUGCUAAUCCAGUGCACACCUCUGAACUGAAUGUUGAGAACUGAGCUGAAUAGUCUUCCCAAAACAAAUGCAACUUGUAGUAAAAGAUCAUACAGGAUGAUUUUAUUUAUCUAUAAACAGCAAAUUUAUAGAAACAGAAAGUAGAUCAGUGAUUGCCUGGAGCCGGGGGUAGGAGUGGGUAUGAACCAAAAAUGGACAGGAGGAAACAUUUUGGGGUAGUAGAAAUGUUCUAAAACUGACUUGUGGUAAUGGUUGCACAACUCUGCAAACUUACUAAAGUCAUCGAAUUGUACACUUACAAUGAGUGAAUUUUAUGAUAUGUAAAUUUGCCUUAAUAAAGCUGAUGUUUUAAAGUUAGCAUAGGUAACUGAUUUAAAUUUGUAUGCCAAAUAACACUGGUUAGUAUCUACAUUAGGACCCUGACUCUACUGCUCACAAACCAUGUGAAUUGAAAUAAAUUAUUU